GACGAACCGUACGAACGUUAUUCGGAAUCACUGGGCUUAAAGGGUGCGUAGGCUGCGCGGAAAGUUGGGUGUGAAAUCCCUCGGCUCAACCGAGGAACUGCGCCCAAAACUGCCGUGCUCGAGGGAGACAGAGGUGAGCGGAACUUAGGGUGGAGCGGUGAAAUGCGUUGAUAUCCUAAGGAACGCCGGUGGCGAAAGCGGCUCACUGGGUCUCUUCUGACGCUGAGGCACGAAAGCUAGGGUAGCGAACGGG
rnacentral:rRNA from 1 species